AGAGUUUGAUCCUGGCUCAGGACGAACGCUGGCGGCGUGCCUAACACAUGCAAGUCGAGCGGAGACAUAAUCAAACCGGACGCCUUCUGGCGGAAGGUGCGGUUAUGUUUUAGCGGCGGAGGGGUGACUACCGCGUGAACAACCUUUCCUUCACAGGGGAAUAACACAUCGAAAGUUGUACUAAUACCGCAUAAUGACCACAGGGCGGCAUCGUCCGGGGGUCAAAGGAGCAAUCCGGUGAAAGGUGGGCUCGCGUCCGAUUAGAUAGUUGGUGAGGUAACAGCCACCAACUAAACGAUCGGUAGCCCACCUGAGAGGGUGAUCAGCCACAUUGGGAGUGACACCCGGACCAAACUCCGACGGGAGGCAGCAGUGGGGAAUAUUGCGCAAUGGGGGGAACCCUGACCCAGCAACGCCGCGUGAGGGAAGAAUGUUUUCGGAUUGUAAACCUCUGUCCUUGGAGAAGAGAAAGAGACGGUCACCAGGGACGAAGCCCCGGCUAAUUACGUGCCAGCAGCCGCGGUAAUACGUAGGGGGCAAGCGUUUUCCGGAAUGAUUGGGCGUAAAGGGCGCGUAGGCGGUUCCUUAAUUAUGGAGUGAAAGUCCUGCCUUCAAUGUGGGAAUUGCUUUGGAUACUGGGGAGCUUGAGUGCAGGAGAGGUAAGUGGAAUUCCCAGUGUAGCGGUGAAAUGCGUAGAGAUUGGGAGGAACACCAGUGGCGAAGGCGACUUUCUGGACUGUAACUGACGCUGAGGCGCGAAAGUGUGGGGAGCAAACAGGAUAAGAUACCCUGGUAGUCCACACUGUA
rnacentral:rRNA from 1 species